AUUGAACGCUGGCGGAAUGCUUUACACAUGCAAGUCGAACGGCAGCACGGGGGCAGCCCUGGUGGCGAGUGGCGAACGGGUGAGUAAUACAUCGGAACGUGCCCGGUCGUGGGGGAUAACGUAGCGAAAGUUACGCUAAUACCGCAUACGAUCUGAGGAUGAAAGCGGGGGACCUUCGGGCCUCGCGCGAUCGGAGCGGCCGAUGUCAGAUUAGGUAGUUGGUGGGGUAAAGGCCUACCAAGCCGACGAUCUGUAGCUGGUCUGAGAGGACGACCAGCCACACUGGGACUGAGACACGGCCCAGACUCCUACGGGAGGCAGCAGUGGGGAAUUUUGGACAAUGGGCGCAAGCCUGAUCCAGCCAUUCCGCGUGCAGGACGAAGGCCUUCGGGUUGUAAACUGCUUUUGUACGGAACAAAAAGGCUCUGGCUAAUACCUGGGGCUCAUGACGGUACCGUAAGAAUAAGCACCGGCUAACUACGUG
rnacentral:rRNA from 1 species